UACGUAGGGUGCGAGCGUUAAUCGGAAUUACUGGGCGUAAAGCGUGCGCAGGCGGUUCGCUAAGUCCGAUGUGAAAUCCCCGGGCUUAACCUGGGAACUGCAUUGGUGACUGGCGGGCUAGAGUAUGGCAGAGGGGGGUAGAAUUCCACGUGUAGCAGUGAAAUGCGUAGAGAUGUGGAGGAAUACCGGUGGCGAAGGCAGCCCCCUGGGCCAAUACUGACGCUCAUGCACGAAAGCGUGGGGAGCAAACAGG
rnacentral:rRNA from 1 species